UGAGGAAGUGAGUCAAAGGAUCAGGCCGGGCGAUCAUCUGAGCUGACGCUGUUUUUUUGCGGGGAAUUUUCUUGCUCAAGAACACGUGGCAACUUGGUGACACAGCCGGGUCAAGAGCUCAAAUCUUCUGACUCUCAUUCUGGUGCCUUUCUCUGUGACCACCAUUUGUGACCGUCCCCUGCUUGCCCUCUGUGGCUCUGGCUCUGCCCCAUCCAUCAAACCUUCUGCCUCCUCUAGGGAGCCUCCCUGAUUGCUACCCAGGAAGCCUUCUCCCCCUCCCACAGUUUGCUGAUAGGAACUAAGAGAGUGAACAUUUUCUGUGUGCUAGGUACACUCCUAAAAACCACAGAAUAAGCCCAUUAUCCCAUUUUACAGAAAAGGAGCCUGAGACUUUGAGACAUGAAGUGAUUUCCCCAAGGGAACCAAUGGCUGGCAGUGGGAGCCCCAGUCCAGGCCACUGGCUUUGGAGCCCUUGUCCUUGGCCGUCUCUCCUCUGUUCUACCUCUUCCUGGGACAGCUGCCAGAACCCGUUGAGGACAAAGAACCGGUGUGGCCUGAUGCUUCCAGAAGAGGAAGGAGUCCUUCAUCAUUGGGCCUGUGGACCCUGGGGUCUCUAGGAUGGUAAAAAUUAGCCCUACAACAUACCCGGCCCCCGGCCAUUCCUGUCCCCCUUAGUCAUCGAUACAGGUUGAGGUAGGGAUUCUUCGUCAUGUUUCUCAAAGGCAGAAACAAGGCUCAGAAAGUCACCUGGCCAAGGAUUCCAUCAAGCCUUGGUCUGCCUGGCCCUCACCUGUGCUCUUUCCUUCAUAUCCUGGUGCCCUCCAAGAAGAAGGCCUCCCAGAGUGCCCCGGUGGGCCUGGGCCCUGUUGCCGUGUAGCAGAGGGAGCCGUGGCACUCCAGCAUCCUGGGGCUAAGGGGAAUCCGAGGCUCUGGGCGGGAGCGCCCUCCCCCAGCCUUCUUCAGCUCUUUUUCUGUUGUUUCUCUGCUCAGCCGGGCCCUGUUAUCUUCCGCUGAGUCUGACGCCUAGUUCUUCCUGUUU
rnacentral:lncRNA from 1 species